rnacentral:rRNA from 1 species
CGAACGCUGGCGGCGCGUUUAAGGCAUGCAAGUCGAACGAGAAAGUAUCCUUCGGGGUACAAGUACAGUGGCGAACGGGUGAGUAACACGUAGUCAACCAACCCUUUAGUGGGGAAUAACUCCAAGAAAUUGGAGCUAAUACCGCAUACUCUUUAAAUCACAUAAGUGGUUUUAAGGAAAGAUUUAUCGCUAAAGGAUGGGACUGCGGUCCAUUAGUUUGAUGGUAGGGUAACGGCCUACCAUGACUACGAUGGAUAGCCGGCCUGAGAGGGUGAUCGGCCACAUUGGAACUGCGACACGGUCCAGACUCCUACGGGAGGCAGCAGCUAAGAAUCUUCCCCAAUGGGCGCAAGCCUGAGGGAGCGACGCCGCGUGGAUGAUGAAGGCUGUUAAAGUUGUAAAAUCCUUUUCUACAGGAAGAAAGUAUGUGUAACAUCAUGCUGACGGUACUGUAGGAAUAAGCUCCGGCUAAUUAC